AUCUGAUCCAUCUAAUAAACCUGAUGAUCGAAGUGGACGACCUAUGCUGAAGACGGAUGUUGCUGUAAAGAAAGAGUCCAUAUCUCAAAAGAGGAAUGUUGAUUCUGAGGAUCAAGACACUCGGUCAAUGUUGAAGAUGGAUAUUGCUGCCAAGAAAGAGUCUGUUUCCCGAAAGAAUGUUGUUGCUUCGUCUAAUGAACCCGAGGACCAAGGUGUACUGGAGAAAACUCCUAGUAGUGUCAGGAAAAUGAUAAGUGCCUUUGAAACUGGUCUUACUCAGAAAAAGGGGAGAAGAUCUCUUACAAGAACUCGAGCAUCAAAAUCCCAACCAAAUUUAGUUGGAAUUGGAGGCUCCCUAAAAGAUUUGGAUUCAGACAAAAUUUCA
rnacentral:misc_RNA from 1 species